rnacentral:rRNA from 1 species
GACGAACGCUAGCGGCGUGCUUAACACAUGCAAGUCGAACGGAAAGGCCCUGCUUUUGUGGGGUGCUCGAGUGGCGAACGGGUGAGUAACACGUGAGUAACCUGCCCUUGACUUUGGGAUAACUUCAGGAAACUGGGGCUAAUACCGGAUAGGAGCUCCUGCUGCAUGGUGGGGGUUGGAAAGUUUCGGCGGUUGGGGAUGGACUCGCGGCUUAUCAGCUUGUUGGUGGGGUAGUGGCUUACCAAGGCUUUGACGGGUAGCCGGCCUGAGAGGGUGACCGGCCACAUUGGGACUGAGAUACGGCCCAGACUCCUACGGCAGGCAGCAGUGGGGAAUAUUGCACAAUGGGCGGAAGCCUGAUGCAGCAACGCCGCGUGCGGGAUGACGGCCUUCGGGUUGUAAACCGCUUUCGCCUGUGACGAAGCGUGAGUGACGGUAAUGGGUAAAGAAGCACCGGCUAACUACGUG